rnacentral:tRNA from 1 species
GGUACUACGCCGGAUUUGAACGGAUUACAUUGAUGCUGUAAAAUAUAAGAAUAUUUUCUUUAGUGCCU